UUUAUACAAUGGAGAGUUUGAUCCUGGCUCAGGAUGAACGCUAGCGGCAGGCCUAACACAUGCAAGUCGAGGGGCAUCACAGGUAGCAAUACCGGGUGGCGACCGGCGCACGGGUGCGUAACGCGUAUGCAACCUACCCAUAACAGGGGGAUAACACUGAGAAAUUGGUACUAAUACCCCAUAACAUCAGAA
rnacentral:rRNA from 1 species